CUGUAGAGAUGGGACGGAUGAUUCUCCUGUGAAGUGGGACUGGUGGUGGUACUGCAGACAUCACCUGACAUCAUGGAGACCCUGCUGACAAAAUUCCUCCAGCAGCGAGACCGCUCCCUGUACUGAGGAAUGUGAGGCUUGGAAUCCACACUGUGGACAGGCAGCUGCUUGCACGCAGAUACUGAGCACUGCACCCACAGAACUAUAGCCGCACCUCGCAAAUCAAUAUUCACCCGACUAGCUGCAACGAAGCAAGGAAGAAAGGGUUCAGGAGGUUGUGGAGGGUGUCGAGAGGG